UACGUAGGGCGCAAGCGUUGUCCGGAAUUAUUGGGCGUAAAGAGCUCGUAGGCGGUCUGUCGCGUCUGCCGUGAAAGUCCGGGGCUCAACUCCGGAUCUGCGGUGGGUACGGGCAGACUAGAGUGAUGUAGGGGAGACUGGAAUUCCUGGUGUAGCGGUGAAAAUGCGCAGAUAUCAGGAGGAACACCGGUGGCGAAGGCGGGUCUCUGGGCAGUAACUGACGCUGAGGAGCGAAAGCGUGGGGGAGCGAACAGG
rnacentral:rRNA from 1 species